rnacentral:rRNA from 1 species
GUAUAAGGUCUGGCCUGCCCACUGAUUUUUAAAGGGCCGCGGUAUAUUAACCGUGCGAAGGUAGCAUAGUCAAUAGUCUUUUAAUUGGAGGCUUGAAUGAACGGUCGGACAUGGGGAUUACUGUCUUAUCGAAUAAGGCGAAGUUAACUUCUGUGUGAAAAGGCACUGAUAUGUUAGAGGGACGAUAAGACCCUAUAAAACUUUAUAGAUGGGGGUGUUUCUUCUAAGGCGGGAGUAAAAGAGGAUUUACCGGGUUUAUUGUGCUGGGGCGGCUGGAAUAUAAUUGUAACUGUUCUUUUUGGUGAAAUAAUUAUGCUUAGAUAUUGACCCUGAAUUUUGGUUUAUAAGAGUAAGUUACUUUAGGGAUAACAGCGUUAUCUCUCUUGAGAGUUCAUAUCGACAGAGACGUUUGCGACCUCGAUGUUGAAUUAAAGCUUUCUCCAGGGGCAGAAGUCUGGAAGACAGGUCUGUUCGACCUUUAAAGUUUUACAUGAUUUG